GAGUGAGAACAUGUGAACAACAUUGUAGACACCAAGAAGUAAGAACCUCAGGCUGGCUGAGUGAAAUGUUCCUUAUAAGAGUACUUCAGUGCUAAUGACAAUAACAAUAAGGAAAGCAGCAAUUCAGUGCUGGAGGAUGCUGCUGAGGAAACAUUGAUAUGAGGGCAGCAAUUGCUUUGGGAGUGAGAUCCUCGUGAAGGUACAGCUGUCAGGGAAAGACCUGGAACAUUUCAG